rnacentral:rRNA from 1 species
UACGUAGGGGGCAAGCGUUGUCCGGAUUUAUUGGGCGUAAAGAGCGUGUAGGCGGCUUGGAAGGUCAGCUGUGAAAACUCGAGGCUCAACCUCGAGACGUCGGUUGAAACCACCUGGCUAGAGUCCGGAAGAGGAGAGUGGAAUUCCCGGUGUAGCGGUGAAAUGCGCAGAUAUCGGGAAGAACACCCGUGGCGAAAGCAGCUCUCUGGGACGGUACUGACGCUGAGACGCGAAAGCGUGGGGAGCGAACGAGGA